rnacentral:rRNA from 1 species
GACGAACGCUGGCGGCGUGCUUAACACAUGCAAGUCGAACGGUGAAGCUCCAGCUUGCUGGAGUGGAUCAGUGGCGAACGGGUGAGUAACACGUGAGCAACCUGCCCCAGACUCUGGAAUAAGCGCUGGAAACGGCGUCUAAUACUGGAUACGAGAUCAAGCCGCAUGGUUAUGGUCUGGAAAGUUUUUCGGUUUGGGAUGGGCUCGCGGCCUAUCAGCUUGUUGGUGAGGUAAUGGCACACCAAGGCGACGACGGGUAGCCGGCCUGAGAGGGCGACCGGCCACACUGGGACUGAGACACGGCCCAGACUCCUACGGGAGGCAGCAGUGGGGAAUAUUGCACAAUGGGCGAAAGCCUGAUGCAGCGACGCCGCGUGAGGGAUGACGGCCUUCGGGUUGUAAACCUCUUUCAGCAGGGAAGAAGCGAAAGUGACGGUACCUGCAGAAGAAGCACCGGCUAACUACGUG